GAAGACAUGGUCAAAGACUGCUCUGAUCCGACUGCCUUGAUCCUCGUACACUAGAGACAGUGCCGUGCUCGUUUGAACCAGCCCAGAGAUGACUUCAAAGCAGAACAUUAAUGACUAACAGCAAAGGGGACGACGAGGGCAUUCUUCCCUGCACCACUUUCCAUAACAACACUCAAGGCUCUAGAAAAUACUCUGGGCUGGAGGAGUUUUCAUUUGGCACGGAUUCAUCUAAGGAAAAAACCUGGAGCUCUUCCAAAGACAAUAUUUGUCAGAGAAGCCUCAAUUCAGACCUAACAGUGUUUAUUAAAUUGGGAGCUGCUGUGCUGCCUUUUUUCGUCCUCUGAUCUGUAUGUACUUUGAAUCAGUUUCAGACUGAAUAUGAAAGUUGUUCCUUUUUCCCUUGCUCUGCAGUCUCUUUCAAGUCUGUCGUAAGCAACUGAUCAAAGGCGCUGCGUUUUAAUCAGACAAAACAGAUGUGAAGUCAGAUGACUGUUUUUAAUGGUUUGGAUCCAGUCGUUUUGACGACUACUGAUAUCGAAUCAAUGGGUGAUAUGGGGCAUGGCACUUCAGAGGAAAAGUUAGAGGAACAUUAGUCUAGCUUAUUUUAUCUCUAAAUAAAAUGUUAUAGGUGGUGGAAUGAACUUAAACAGACCUCAUAAUCUCCCCAUGCUGGAUCUUCAGCUGCCUAACAAACAAUAGAGAACAAGUUUUAUUGUUCUGUUGACAAAUGCUUUAAUUAAAAUGGGUGCAGGAGGAGCGUUAAAACUGCACUAAAUAACCGAUCCAAGGCCACAGCCGAAAACUUCUGCCCCAGGGGAGUAGGAAUCAAACCUGCUCUGCAAACAGGAAGCUUCAGCCCACAGCUCAGAGGGUCAGAGUGGAUUCAAAAGCAUCCGAUUGGGUGAGAAGUAACCAUGGAAACAUUUGAAUAACCACAGAGACCGCUCAGAUACUUGAGCAGGCUGUUAGCACCGUGUUCAAACAUUUAAUGCCCCCUCUACACCGAGACCUAAGAGUCUCUUUCCAAGUCACAGAGUUGGAGCACAUCCAGGCAAAGACUUUCUGACUCGCAGCACCUGCAGAGCUCGGCUGGGGGGAGAAACAGACAUAAAACUAUAUCUAGGUCAAGUAUACUGCAUCAACCACACUUCCCCAAACAAACACGAUCGCUCAGGAAAUACCCCUUUUUGUACCAAAACACAUGAAGCCUACUGUUCUCCAUGUACUUUGUGUUUGCAGCACGUUAGGCCACAAGUGUGCAUGGGUGUGUCUCACUCCUAGCUGGUGUGUUUACUUUUUAUGGUACACGUGUCUGUUGUGUACGUGUGCGGCAUGCACGUAAGGCUGUAUUUACAGCCUUUUCAUGAGAUCAUACGCACAAGUUCGGAUUAGGCAACGUGCAGUUUCGCCUUACAGAUUUUACUCUAGCGCCAAGUAAGUUCUAAGGAAGACUGGUGUGUGUACAAAGAAGUCAUCUUCUGUUUAUCUGGGGAGAGGUUACAAGGUCAUCACACACUUUUUCACUAUGAGCUGUCACGCUUUUACUCUAACCACAAGUCCAGAGUGUUUAACAAUGGCCUUGCAGUCAGGGGAAGAAUUUCAACCUGCUUACAUUAAAAAAGCGCUUCCUUUUGCAUGAUCCAAAUUAGUUUUAAUCCUCAGAUUAGUAAACAGGUUUUGCUAUUCAAGUCAAACGGCAUACAAAAAGAAGUGAAACCACGUAUAUAACACACCGAUUUACAGGUCACGUUGGCACCACCUAGAAAAAGAAAUGUGCUUUUAAAGGGGAAGUUCAAUCUAAAAUAUAAAUUCUAUUACCAUUUUCUCACGCUCAUGACUUUCUUUCAUCUAAAGAACACAAAAGGCGACAUUUUGAAGAAUGUGUUUUGUCCACUAAACGAUGGUCAAUGCAUGGGGGAACCCUUUAUCUUUCAUUGUAUGUACUAAAACACAAGUAUUUUCUAAAAUAUCAUCAAAAGAGAAACGCAAACUGGUUUGAAAUGACAUGUGGAUGAGAAAAUGACGAUGACAAAGCUAGUUCACCGAGAAAAUAAAUAUUCUCGGUGAACUAGCUUUUAACAAAGUCUGCUCUGUGUUUAUUUAAAGGUAUAGCAGUAGGGGUGUUGCGAUAUACUGGUAUUGACGAUAACCGUGAUAUUCAAAGCAAUUAUCGAUAUCGUGUUAAUUUAGUGUGUGACAAUAUACCGGUAUUAGCAAUAACCGCAAUAUUUAAAAUUAACAGGUCUCUUAUGAUAACACCACAUGUAAAUACUCCAUCGCCAGUACCUGGUUGAGCUCCCAGGUGGCAGUAUUGUGCCUUAACGCUGACACCUGUCACACAAGACGACGACGCAGUGCUCGCAGCUGAGGAGAGCAGUGUUCAUCAGAAUAAGUUGCCAUUAUUUUACUAGUCAUAGAAUGGGAAAUGUUAUAUUAACCUGUUAACAGCGGUUUUCUGUGUUCAUAUAUUUAAGUAAAGGGAGAUUAUUUUAAUAAGUGCUGUGUUUUCUUUACUCAUCUUAUUUUUGUUUUUGCAAUCAAUACGGCCUGUGUGUAGCAACACUUUAUUUCUAUGUUCAACUGUUCUUGAAAAACUGAGCGACCACAUUGCUACAUUAAACUCUGUAAAAUGUUAAGUUGGUCGCAGUGCCACGCACUUAAUGCCUCAUUUGCGGUUAUUCUUCAAUAAGGCUCAUUAGUUAACAUAUAUAAAUAACAAAUGAUAAUUAACAAUAUUUCCACAGCAUUUAUUAAUCUUAGUUCAUGUUAAUUUCAGCAUUUACUUAUGCAAUAUUAAAAUCAAAAGUUGUGUUUGUAAACAUUAAUGCACUGUGAACUAAC
rnacentral:lncRNA from 12 species